rnacentral:rRNA from 1 species
UACGGAGGGCGCAAGCGUUGUUCGGAAUCACUGGGCGUAAAGCGCGUGUAGGCGGCUUGGUAAGUCGGGUGUGAAAGCCCGGGGCUCAACCCCGGAACUGCAUUCGAAACUGCCUCGCUCGAGUCCCGGAGAGGGUGGUGGAAUUCCCGGUGUAGAGGUGAAAUUCGUAGAUAUCGGGAGGAACACCAGUGGCGAAGGCGGCCACCUGGACGGUGACUGACGCUGAGAAGCGAAAGCGUGGGGAGCAAACAGG